UACGUAGGGGGCUAGCGUUGUCCGGAAUCAUUGGGCGUAAAGCGCGUGUAGGCGGUCCGGUAAGUCCGCUGUGAAAGUCGGGGGCUCAACCCUCGGAUGCCGGUGGAUACUGUCGGGCUUGAGUACGGAAGAGGCGAGUGGAAUUCCUGGUGUAGCGGUGAAAUGCGCAGAUAUCAAGGAGGAACACCAAUGGCGAAGGCAGCUCGCUGGGACGGUACUGACGCUGAGGAGCGAAAGCGUGGGGAGCAAACAGG
rnacentral:rRNA from 1 species